AACGAACGCUGGCGGCAUGCCUAACACAUGCAAGUCGAACGAAGCCUUCGGGCUUAGUGGCGCACGGGUGCGUAACGCGUGGGAAUCUGCCCUUGGGUUCGGAAUAACAGUUAGAAAUGACUGCUAAUACCGAAUGAUGUCUUCGGACCAAAGAUUUAUCGCCCAAGGAUGAGCCCGCGUCGGAUUAGCUAGUUGGUGAGGUAAAGGCUCACCAAGGCGACGAUCCGUAGCUGGUCUGAGAGGAUGAUCAGCCACACUGGGACUGAGAUACGGCCCAGACUCCUACGGGAGGCAGCAGUGGGGAAUAUUGGACAAUGGGGGCAACCCUGAUCCAGCAAUGCCGCGUGAGUGAUGAAGGCCUUAGGGUUGUAAAGCUCUUUUACCAGGGACGAUGACGGUACCUGGAGAAUAAGCCCCGGCUAACUUCGUGCCAGCAGCCCGCGGUAAU
rnacentral:rRNA from 1 species